GAUGAACGCUGGCGGCGUGCCUAAUACAUGCGAGUCGAGCGAACAGACGAGGAGCUUGCUCCUCUGACGUUAGCGGCGGACGGGUGAGUAACACGUGGAUAACCUACCUAUAAGACUGGGAUAACUUCGGGAAACCGGAGCUAAUACCGGAUAAUAUAUUGAACCGCAUGGUUCAAUAGUGAAAGACGGUCUUGCUGUCACUUAUAGAUGGAUCCGCGCCGCAUUAGCUAGUUGGUAAGGUAACGGCUUACCAAGGCAACGAUGCGUAGCCGACCUGAGAGGGUGAUCGGCCACACUGGAACUGAGACACGGUCCAGACUCCUACGGGAGGCAGCAGUAGGGAAUCUUCCGCAAUGGGCGAAAGCCUGACGGAGCAACGCCGCGUGAGUGAUGAAGGUCUUCGGAUCGUAAAACUCUGUUAUUAGGGAAGAACAAAUGUGUAAGUAACUGUGCACGUCUUGACGGUACCUAAUCAGAAAGCCACGGCUAACUACGUG
rnacentral:rRNA from 1 species